AAGCUCAGGUAAAGAAAGUCAGCGCAGCAUUGCCUGAGUUACUGGGUAAGGCAAUUACUCUAGAUGUUCGCCAGUCAAACUAGAGGCUCCGUUAAGACACUAUAACUGCAGUGCCAUUCACCCAAGACACGGGUCGCGUAACACCUGGGUUACGGGAGUUGGUUCGCGACCUCCUAUUUGUUAUUCAGAGGCUAUCCUGUCAGUGCUACAGGACAUUCAGCUAUCCACCACCUGCCGUCGCGCCUGGUAACCGCUCAAGCCCCAGGUUUUUUUUAAAAAAUUUAAUUUAAAAUAUUUUUUGCUUUCUAACUUAGAGGGUGAAAAUGUUGAACAUCCUUGAAGUAUUUUUGGAUACUGAAGAUAAAGUAUUUUGGAUGCUAUGAAAGAAUUGAUGUUGGUAUCACUGGCAGUCAAAAACAAAAAGCUAUCAGCUGACCUGAUGGCUAGUUAUUAAUUAAACUACCCUUCUAUUUUUCGAAUUUUAUGUUGUUGCAUGUGGUUAAAUGAAAUCAUUGCUUCUUUAUAAUCAUGUUUUAUAAAAAAAAAAAUCCUUUUAACUGUCAAUUUUUCUAAAGUAUAAAAGUCAAUAAAAAAAACUAAACUUAUAUAUUUUUUUUAUUUUCCUUUUGAAAAGACAGCUAGUUUUUUAAAGUAGCCAUUAAAAAUUUCUCACAUUUUCACCAGAUAUUAACGUAAUUUUGUUAACUGAAAUACAUUAAUAAAUUAAAAAUAAAUGUUCAUUAAGCGUUUUAUUCUUUUCUAGUGAAAGUUCAUAACGAAAGAUCAUAAACAAAUCAACCUGUGUACAUACAAGAUGAUUCAACCAAGCAAGCUACCAUGCCUGACUACAACUCUGUCUUCACUGUUUCAUCUGGAACCUGAAACAAAAGUUGAAUCUGUUGCUUUGGUUACUCAUCAUUAUGAGCAACAAGAAGAUAUGGCAAGAGCUUUGGAA